rnacentral:lncRNA from 1 species
CAGGAAGCGAGAGGUUCCCACAGGCGGUAGUGUUAGGGAAUUGAUCAUGUUAAAUUAUGCUGUGAUGCCGCCUCACAGGCUGCAUUCUCCUGGUACAUCUUGGCUCCUAAAAUGACCUCAUGCCCUUAUCUCUGGUUUCCCUCCCCCCCAAGGCCACAGUGGUCCAGGAAAGCUAAAACCUGUGUCUGCAGGACUGGGCCCAUAAAAGCAAUCUGGCCUGUAAUAGGUUGAAAGUAACUCACUCCUCAUAAAUAAGCAAUAGCCCACCCCAAAAUUGAUAAAAGGACCUUCCUUUCUUUGUUCUUUUCUCUCCUUCUGCUUCUUCUUCCUCCUCUCUCUCUCUCUCUCUCUCUCUCUCUGCCUUCCUACCUCCUGCUCGCCUCCCUACAAUAAAGAUCUCCUGCCAGACCUCUCGGUGCAUGAGUGGCCUAAUUGGAAAGGGGCGCCUGAAAGGGCAUGCGAACCCCCUUUCAGGUAGGGUCACCAGGACCCAUCUUGAAGGAUCUUCGGAGAGGCCUUUGGCGCAUAUAGUUGAGGGUCACCUGUGCUAUAGCACCAUGGGCAGCCUGUUCCGAUGCGGCUUCUUUGGCCAGAUGCUCUUCUCCAGCCAGCUAACGUGCUACGCCCACGACCUCUACACCACCACCUGCCUCAACUUCCUGCACUUCCUGCUCAGUUCACUGUUUACGGUGUGCAGGAGCUGGUUGGUGUCUGCAGUCUCGCUGGCCACCCUGACCCUCCAUACCUUAAGGAUCCACUGGUCCCAGUCCUGCUAGGAGCUCUGUAGGUCCCCAAACUUAAGUCUCCAACUUCCAGACCCAGAGGGGUCAAAACCUAUCAGAUGUUUUCUAUUGGGGGGGGCGGCAGUAGGAUUUAUGGUCAAAGGGAGAUGUUCUUUGUCCCCUAAAUUAACUUAGCAUCUGCUGUAAAUUAAGACCCCACUGUCUCAUUAUUUCCCUGGUAGAAGUGAUGCCAGUUGCAAGGAGGAAGGCAGAGCCUGCUCUCAGGAGGUAUGCAGUGACUUCCUGGAAACAGGCAGCAUAUAACGAAGGCAUAGCUGGUUUUUCUCUGGGAGAUCCAAGGAUGCUCCUGGGCUAAGAUUGGGGAAGUAGAGGCAGCCAUGACAGCAUUGGGCAAACAUUAGUAGGAGCAUCUCGGCUCCAUCUUACAGGAGGUAGGGUCUGUGGACUUCGAAGUGGAGUCUUCAGGGUUCCCUGCUCCUGCCUUCCCUGCCAUCCUCAGCUGCCUUCCAGAUGUUCAAGAGGGGACCAUUUAUUGAGCAUUUGCUGUGUUUUGUUUUGGGUGGGAAUGCUUUUAAUUCAUUCAACUUAAUGCUCCAAUUAACCUAACAAGGAAGGUUUUAUCAACCUCAUUUUAUCAUUGGAGGAAUGGAAAUGCAGAGAAUCUAAGUCACUUGUCACAAAGCUCAAAGACAAUGGAGGUGGGAUUCGAACCCAAGGGCUGUCUAGCUCCAGGGGUCUGUUAUGUCUCCCAGAGCACUGCCUCUUAGAUGGACUGGGCUGGAGAGCUCCAGCUGGCAAUGCUGGGGGCCCAGACACAACCAGAUAUGCUUUUAGACAUCAACACUAAGUAGACACCAUGGAGGGGAAAAGGUGCCAUUUAAAGAAAUCUGGCCCUUCACUGUGCUAGCCUGCAGUUUCUGAGAUGGAGUUCAACUGAGAACCUUCCAGCACCUGCUUCCUCUCCUCAGCUCCCUCUGCAACAUCCUUGGGCGAGAACCACCAGUGGUGGGCUGGGGAAUCUGUGCAUCACUGAGGAAUCCUGGGAGGCCUCCCAUUAAUUGGAGCUACUCCAUCUGCGCUCACAUGUGUCCCUGCAGUUGCCAUGUGAGUUGGCUGUGGAGCAAGAGCACGCCAGUCUGGGUCUUGCCUCCUGUUUCCUGUCCUGUAGCCAGAGGGUAAGUAGCCCAGGAGCUCAGAGUCUUGGGGCUGC